GACGAACCGAGCGAACGUUGUUCGGAAUCACUGGGCUUAAAGGGCGCGUAGGCGGGCGGCCGCGUCCGGGGUGAAAUCCCACGGCUCAACCGUGGAACGGCCCCGGGUACGGGUCGCCUGGAGGGGGGUAGGGGCGUGCGGAACUGUGCGUGGAGCGGUGGAAUGCGUUGAUAUCGACCGGAACUCCGGUGGCGAAGGCGAGGUGCUGGGUCCUUUCUGACGCUGAUGCGCGAAAGCCAGGGGAGCAAACGGG
rnacentral:rRNA from 1 species